rnacentral:lncRNA from 1 species
GAAAUGAUUCCCAUCUACAUAAUUUUCAUUAAUUUGAUAAAAAGUAAAAACCAAAAAUUGUGGGAGGCAAGCAAUCUAAAUUUGACUAAAACUACACACCUAAAUUUCACUGCAUGAAUAUGAAAACAAUCCUCAAUGCAGACAUUCAAAUUUGGAGUAACAGAGUGGCGUAACUUGUUUGCAUGAAUAUGAAUACAAUCAUCAAUGCAGACAUUCAAAUUUAGAGUAACAGAGUAGUGUAACUAGUUUACAGAAAGGAAAUGUCUCAGGUUUCAAGCCCAGGCUGCUGCGAAUUACAUCAUGAACUACAGAAAGCACUAGAAAUGCCUAGAAUCAACACUUGAACUCGCAAUUGACUAAUGCAAUUAUCUUCUAUCACCUUUUUUGCUUCAAUAUCUUUUCCAUGGAAAUGCCUUCUCGUCAUACAUACAACAACAGCUAUUCUUAUAAAGCUUGUUUCUGUCAAAUUCUUCCCUCAGCUUUAACAUACAACCACAAAAAACAUAUUUGGAUAAGCAAAUACUCCGGUAUUGUCAAUGACAUAAGUGCUCAAGUCCGUAGCUCAUAGAAAUUACUAAAAUAGCCACUAGAGAUUACUAAAAGCAACCAUUGCCCGGCAAGAAUUUAGCUUUCUACAACAGAGAGUUAGCCUAUAUCACAAAACUUGACCACUGUGCCAAAACAUGAAAACUAGUCUCCCACUUCAACUUGUCUCACGCCUACAACAAGUCAUGUAUAUGUUUGGCAACCAUAAGCAUUCUUAUUUAAAUUUUGCUUUUCUGAAAUAGCAUAGCUAAUUUUUCAAAACAAGAACAGGGUGGUAUCUGUAUAAAAUUCUAAUACCUAUUAUGAGUUUCAUUAAUGACACCAAAAUCCUAUUAAAAUUUUUUUAAGAAAAAACAAAUUUGUGCCAGGCAACCAUCACACAGCCAUUUUUGCUUUCAGUAAUCUCAAGAAACUAUUGACUCAAUCACUAAAGUAUGCUAGCAACACCACUAGCUUAUGGUUGCAGGUCAAAACUCAUCUUCAAUUGGUCUCAAACAAAAAAAAAAAAAAAGAAUAUAUAUAUUAAAACAAAUAAACCACCGCUGUGAAAAAGCAACAGAAACAGAGUGCCGAGCAAAUCCCAUUGCAGAACUCCCCAUAUGCAUUAACUUCAGCAAUUUACAAAAAUACUAACUUCAGCAACUUACAAAACAUUUCAAAAAAAAGACUGAAAAACUAAUGACCUAAUUAAACAGAUUAUGAGCAUGCACUUAACCAACUCUCUAACUUUGAAGAAUUGACAAACCCUUUUAGAAGAAAAUAAUAAUAAUAAUAAAGUAAAAUCAAGAAACUUUUUGAUUUAAUGGUGAACCCGCGUGGCCGUCAUAGCCUAAACCAAGAUAUGGGUUAUUAGGGCUCCGACCGCGGGCAGUCCUCAUCGCAGAAAACCAAAAGGCUAAACCUUCUCUCAAUCCGACCGCAGGCAGCGUAGAGCCUCCGGCGAACCCAUAUGAAAAUGGCGGGUGGCUCUCGCGCGCUCCACCAUUGGUACGAAAAGAAAGAGGAGACUUUCAG